CGGGCCCACUUUGUCUGGAAAAGAAUAAUCUCCGCACUACGCAAAGGAACACACAAAGUAAAAGGAACUUGGCAAGAUAUGAAACUGUCAGCACCAUGUCUGCCUGCGUGCCGCCAUGCUUCCCGCCACGAUGACGCUGGACUGAACCUCUGAACUGGUUGUCUAUUUGGGAGUCUAAACUUGGAAUGUAAAAUUUGAAACAAGAGGAAAAAAUAUUAGUAAGUGAGAGAUGCUUCUUCUCAUGAUGUAUCUGGAUUUAAUCAUAUGCACACUCAAUUAUGCAUAAGCAUAGUAAGGUACUUAGAAGAAGAAGUUUACUUUAUGGUAUAUGUACUACAAACCAGACUAGGUUGUAUCAGCACAUUUCCCAUGGUUCCAAGUUUAUUAGAGGAAGUGCUGGGAAGGAAACAGAUAUUAACAGGAGGUUGCUAAGAAAGAUCUAUGUACUCAAGCCAAGUCAGCAUGGAAUGAAGACCUUCUCAAUGUUAACUUCAAAGCAACCAGAUUUCCAGAAGAAAAAUCUCUACAUUCUGUACGAAACUUCCUCAUUUCUGAAGCUUCCUGGGCACAAUUUUUCUCCUGUUGACAGGGCCCAGCCUGGACCACUCGAAGGCCAGCAGAGAACUUCUCAGUCAAGUCAGGUUGAGUCACAGCCCCACGUAAAGUCUGCUGAGGUCACUGUAGCAGAGCCAGAACAGUUGAAUUGUAUAAGCCACAGAAUUUUAUAUCAGCGCUACUGUGAGGGGAAGCCUAGAUCAAGUCUUACGCACUGAGAAAGGAUGUC
rnacentral:lncRNA from 1 species